UACAGAGGGUGCGAGCGUUAAUCGGAAUUACUGGGCGUAAAGCGCACGUAGGCGGCUUGGUAUGUCGGGUGUGAAAUCCCCGGGCUCAACCUGGGAACUGCAUCCGAAACUGCCUUGCUCGAGUAUGGGAGAGGGAAGUGGAAUUUCCGGUGUAGCGGUGAAAUGCGUAGAUAUCGGAAGGAACAUCAGUGGCGAAGGCGACUUCCUGGACCAAUACUGACGCUGAGGAGCGAAAGCGUGGGGAGCGAACAGG
rnacentral:rRNA from 1 species